UACGGAGGGUGCAAGCGUUAUCCGGAUUCACUGGGUUUAAAGGGUGCGUAGGAGGGCAGGUAAGUCAGUGGUGGAAAUCUUCGAGCUUAACUCGGAAACUGCCGUUGAUACUAUCUGUCUUGAAUACCGUGGAGAUGAGCGGAAAUAUGUCAUGUAGCGGUGAAAUGCCUUAGAUAUGACUUAGAACACCAAUUGCGAAGGCAGCUUGCUAAACAAAUAUUGACGCUGGAGGCACGAAAGCGUGGGGAUCAAACAGG
rnacentral:rRNA from 1 species